UUCUGGGUGUCGACAGUGAAACCAUGAGGAAAGCCCUCAAGGAUGCCAUGCACAACUCUGCAGAUGCCCAAUGUGAGACACGGUGUCAUGCACACUUGACAGAAUUUCCUUACCAGGGGGGACUCAUCUUGCUCACUUCAGGAGUAUUGCAGCCUAAUAAUUGAUUCAGAAGUUUGCUUUCUGCCUCCCACCAAAAAGACUGUAGCUAAAAAAUAAUAAUAAAAUUCAUAAACAUCACAUAAGAUCUACACGAAUCACUCCAGAGUCAACCCACUUCCUGUCUUUCUCCCUUGAUACUGUUGGAGAGCCCAGGAACACUGGUGACCCACUCAGGAAGAGGAUGGCUUGGGAAUGUGGUUUGUAUGAAACAUGGGCUAUUUUUCUGGGCUUCGUGUCCUGUGUACACGCCCAUUACCCACAGCCAUCCGGUGGGAGUCUCUGACAACUGUAACAGGUACUAUCGGUUCAAAGAGUAUUGGGAAUCGUGACAGAAACUUUCCAAAGCUCUGACACCAGACAGGAAAGAGCUGAUAGCAGCUUUCCCGGAGGUUUACCAGACUUUUCCAGCUCUUACCUAACCUUGCCAUGACCCUGACCACCGGCAGGCUUGAGAAGUUGACAACUUUUUCAGACCUCCAACAAAAUGGAGCCAGGCGGCCAUCGCCACUAAAGGGAGGCCUGGCUUGACUUCCUGGUGUCACGGGAGAAAGAGAAUCUCAGGUCAUCUCAACCCACUCUUCCACCCUUUGCAGUAUUGGAGGAGGGAGUUACCCAUCUGAUUUUUAGAGGUGCCUACCAAUGAUGUGUGAAGAGUAACAAGAGAGAAAAAUGAAGAAAUGGCCUGCAUCAAGAUAAAGAAUUCUUUGUCACCAGUCACAAUGAAUGCAGUGAGAAGACCAGUGGUGGCAGAGGGCAAUAUUCACAUGUUCAUAUCUGGUGAGGGUUUAAUAUCAAGUCUGCAUUAAGUGUGCCUGUAACUAAACGACAUUAAAGACACCACUUCCCUUUAUUAAAUGGGCAAAGGGCUUAUGCAGACAUUUCUCUAGAGAUCUACAGUUGGUCAAUAAGUUGGUCAGGAAGGAAUGCUUGCCAAUACUUCUUAGGCAAUGACAAGUCCAAAUGACAGGGAGAUGUCACCUCACAGCCAUGUGAAUGGCCACUAUUAGAAACUGGAGACUAAUGAGU